rnacentral:rRNA from 1 species
UACGUAGGGGGCUAGCGUUGCUCGGAAUCACUGGGCGUAAAGCGCACGUAGGCGGCUUUCUAAGUCAGGGGUGAAAUCCUGGAGCUCAACUCCAGAACUGCCUUUGAUACUGGCGAUCUCGAGUCCGGGAGAGGUGAGUGGAACUGCGAGUGUAGAGGUGAAAUUCGUAGAUAUUCGCAAGAACACCAGUGGCGAAGGCGGCUCACUGGCCCGGUACUGACGCUGAGGUGCGAAAGCGUGGGGAGCAAACAGG